CAGGGAGACAACAAAAUGUUUAAUAUUAUUAUUUUGUCACCUUAGGUCGAUCGGUAUCUCACGUUCUUAAUUAAUUAAGAAUUUCAAUUCCUAAGUUUUUCUAGGUCACACCCAUUAUUUUUCCUGGGCCAUUAGCUCAGGUGGUUAGAGCGCACCCCUGAUAAGGGUGAGGUCCCUGGUUCAAGUCCAGGAUGGCCCAUAUCUCUAUGUUGGGGGUAUAGCUCAGUUGGUAGAGCGCCUGCUUUGCAAGCAGGAUGUCAGCGGUUCGAGUCCGCUUACCUCCACUGAUUACCACCUCUUCCAUAAUCUGUAGAAAGGAAAUUUUUUGAGUUGUGAUCAAAUUCUGAACGAAUCUAGCUUCCUAAUGAAAGAUUUAAGAUGCUGACUCAUUGAAUUAAUUUUCAUUUGUUUUUCAGAGACUUCAACUGCAUAGAUUAUUUUUUUAAAGACAAUAAGCAUCUUUAAUGAUGCAGAUUUAUUAUUUGUGCGAAUGCAUUAAUAACAAUUCUAUUAAGCUGAUGCUUCA
rnacentral:tRNA from 1 species